rnacentral:rRNA from 1 species
UAGGGAAUCUUCCACAAUGGGCGCAAGCCUGAUGGAGCAACACCGCGUGAGUGAAGAAGGGUUUCGGCUCGUAAAGCUCUGUUGUUGGAGAAGAACGUGCGUGAGAGUAACUGUUCAUGCAGUGACGGUAUCCAACCAGAAAGUCACGGCUAACUACGUGCCAGCAGCCGCGGUAAUACGUAGGUGGCAAGCGUUAUCCGGAUUUAUUGGGCGUAAAGCGAGCGCAGGCGGUUGCUUAGGUCUGAUGUGAAAGCCUUCGGCUUAACCGAAGAAGUGCAUCGGAAACCGGGCGACUUGAGUGCAGAAGAGGACAGUGGAACUCCAUGUGUAGCGGUGGAAUGCGUAGAUAUAUGGAAGAACACCAGUGGCGAAGGCGGCUGUCUGGUCUGCAACUGACGCUGAGGCUCGAAAGCAUGGGUAGCGAACA